CACUGCGCAACACUAUCAAGCGCACACCACUGCUUAUGCUGAGAUGUCUACUCCAAAAUGUCUACUAAUUUUGUUUGUGGCUACAAUCUCGUUAUUAAAUGACCGGUUUACAUGCAGUGCAGUGGUUUGCAAUCAGCUGUGCUACUACGAUAGAAACAACAACCCUCAUGGCUGCCCAGAAGGAUGCCAGUGCGUAGCCCAUGACUGGGGAACUGGUACCGCCAACAUGUCGGGGAGAUGUAUGCAUCGAAUGAGCAAGCGUUGAUAUUGAAAAAUAAAGGAAUCAACAUUGGUUAA